UACGAAGGGGGCUAGCGUUGUUCGGAAUUACUGGGCGUAAAGGGCGCGUAGGCGGUGUGUCAAGUCAGGCGUGAAAGCCCCGGGCUCAACCUGGGAACCGCGCUUGAGACUGGCACGCUAGAGUUCGGGAGAGGAUGGUGGAAUUCCCAGUGUAGAGGUGAAAUUCGUAGAUAUUGGGAAGAACACCGGUGGCGAAGGCGGCGACCUGGUCCAUUACUGACGCUGAGGCGCGACAGCGUGGGGAGCAAACAGG
rnacentral:rRNA from 1 species